CGGUUACAGCCGCAUGCGCCGUGGCUGAUCUGACGGGCAUCGGAGAAAACACGUCAGGCGGCGGCUGCCGAACACUGCCCAUCUCCCUAAUAAGCACUUGCGUGCAGAAGAGCAGGAUGGAGAUGAUGUUUGGGAGACAUGAGAAUGAAGACCAACUUCAGAGGGCCUGAAGACUGAAAAAAGAACAAGAGUGGAUGGCUCCUGUAAAGCAGGAGAUAUCUGCUGUGAGGAUUACACCGUGCCCGCUUCAAAAGGGUCUCCACAAAGGUAUGCAGAGAUCCCCCACUCCAUUCAAGAGCCUUCUAACGCACUCCCAUGAUUACAUGUUAAGGAGGUAACAGAUAGCAUCCCAUUGUUGUCAGCAGAUCUGGUGUGCUUGACUUUUUCCUCUCUCCGCCUGAAGUGUUCUCCUGCCAAGCAAAUUUACAGCCAGCCCCCAGGGGGCCUGGAAAUGAGGAAGGUUCCAGAUGCUAUCCCAUGUACUCUUUAGACCUUCCGCAGCC